rnacentral:rRNA from 1 species
UACGUAGGGGGCGAGCGUUGUCCGGAGUUACUGGGCGUAAAGGGCAUGCAGGCGGUCGGACGCGUUUCGGGUGACAGCGGGUGGCUUAACUACCCGAGUGGUCGAAAGACGGUUUGACUUGAGGACGCGAGAGGGACACGGAAUUCCGGGUGGAGUGGUGAAAUGCGUAGAGAUCCGGAGGAACGACCGAAGGCGAAGGCAGUGUCCUGGCGCGUAACUAACGCUGAGGUGCGAAAGCCAGGGGAGCGAACGGGAUUAGAAACCCUUGAU